CCCGGCGGUGUUCCGCGUUCACGCCCGGGCGUUUCUUUAGUCCAUAUGGAAGGAAAUAAAUGGCCUUUUUUUUCCUCUUUUUUUUUUUUUUUUUUUUUUUUUUUUUUUUUUUAUGGUAUGUGAGACAAGGUCUCACUCUCGCCCAGGCUGGAGUGCAGUGGUAGCGAUCUUGGCUCACUGCAACCUUUACCUCCCGGGCUCAAGCGAUCCUCCUGCCUCGGCCUCCCAAAGUGCUGGAUUAUAGGUGUGAGCCACCCACCCGGCUCUCCUUUUUUUUCUUUUAACUUGGGGCGGCAGGAGAGGAUUUGAGAGAGCGUUUUGGUGCAACUCCGUUCCUUUUAUGAAUAGAGAAGCAGGCCUGAAGAGGAAUACCAGCGGUGCAAGUUUAGGGAGUUGGUGGUCCGGGUUCUCCCAUGGCUUUCUUAUGGGCUGUGUGGCUACACAAUGCUGAUUUGUACAAGCCGAGUGUCAUUUAUAUCAUCUCGCUCCGGGAGAGAGAGUCAAUCCUAGUUUUAAAAGAUACUGGAAAUUCGUUGCGACUAUGGCUAUAGAAACAGAAGAAAUGCAGUUAUCUGAGUCCUUUCAGCCUAACACUCCCUGCUUUGGAACAUUUGGUUCCAGUCAGGAGGCACAAAUGAGGGAGCAGGGAAAUCAGUGGCGGGCCUGUGCCUUUCUUUGCUCUGUAGACAGCCAGAGGACCCAGAGGAAGUCGACAUUUCGUUCCGUCAAGGUGACUGAGACCAGUGGCUGCUUCUAAGGAUCAAGUGGCACAUGAACAAAUGGGAACAAAGUACACCCUUGUCUAGUAUUUGUCUAAAACUAACAAUAAUAGCAAGUCUUGAAUUGAGUUCUUCCUGGCUAUAAGGCACCACGCUAGGUGUUUCAAAUACUCCUCACUUCAUCCUCACUACAACCUUGCAAUUACCUCCAUUUUACAGUUGAGGAAACUGAGUCAGGAGAGGUUAACUAACUUGCACAAGAUCACACAGCUAGGAAGAUGCAGAAACAAGAUUAGAGCCAAACCAGUCAGUCAACUGUUGGUCUUUUUCACGUUUUACUAAUACUCGUAUAACUAGUAAGUUUCCUGGCAGGUUCCAGUUGGAAAAACUCGAGGGUAACAUCAAAUUUAGCCCUUACAGGGUAAAAAAGAAUAGUCAACAGCAAAAAUCUCUAGUUGAUAUGAUAUUGGUAAUGUACUUCGCUCUUUAUUUUGACUGCAAGACAUCUACUCAAGAUAAUAUAGAAUAAUAUUGCUGUUCCCGGGAUUCAGAUAAAGAUGGCAGCUCUCAAGAUCUGUCCGGAAAAGUCUAGAAGCCUCCAGAUUUCUAAUCAACAGACUAGCGCUCCUCCUCUGUAACUGAGGAACAAGAUGCCAAGGAGACAGGAGAAAGAAGAGAAUUCCCUUCAUGUCUCGGCCAUAAACCCUGAAACAGACUUGUCCAUGAGCCUUGUAAAAUAAGUUACAUUUCUGCAGAGGUGCUUGACGUUCACACCGUUUGGAUUGCUUUAUUAAAAGACUCUUUUUAGAGCCAAGUUUGUCUUCCUCUUCUGUGGUCUCCUAGGCUCUUCUUCCUGUAGAGCUUUUGGUUUUUAGCCACCUCAUUGUGGCUGUGCACCUGUCCAGCCUGGGCAUCAGGCUGCAAAAGUGCAACCCUGUCCUACUCCUACCUCCAGUCACAAUGAUGCUGGGUGCAAAAAAAUCUAAAAAUGGUG
rnacentral:lncRNA from 10 species